rnacentral:rRNA from 1 species
CUGCUGCCUCCCGUAGGAGUUUGGGCCGUGUCUCAGUCCCAAUGUGGCCGUCCGCCCUCUCAGGCCGGCUACCGAUCGUCGCUUUGGUGGGCCUCUACCCCGCCAACUGGCUAAUCGGACGCGGGUCCAUCCCAUACCACCGGAGCUUUUCACACUGUAUCAUGCGAUACCGUGCGCUUAUGCGGUAUUAGCAGCCGUUUCCGGCUGGUAUCCCCCGGUAUGGGGCAGGUUGCCCACGCGUUACUCACCCGUCCGCCACUAAA